rnacentral:rRNA from 1 species
GACGAACGCUGGCGGCGUGCUUAACACAUGCAAGUCGAACGGAAAGGCCCCUUUGGGGGUCCUCGAGUGGCGAACGGGUGAGUAACACGUGAGUAACCUGCCCUUGACUUCGGGAUAACUUCAGGAAACUGGGGCUAAUACCGGAUAGGAAUCCUUGCUGCAUGGUGGGGGUUGGAAAGCUUCGGCGGUUUUGGAUGGACUCGCGGCUUAUCAGCUUGUUGGUGGGGUAGUGGCUUACCAAGGCUUUGACGGGUAGCCGGCCUGAGAGGGCGACCGGCCACAUUGGGACUGAGCUACGGCCCAGACUCCUACGGGAGGCAGCAGUGGGGAAUAUUGCACAAUGGGCGGAAGCCUGAUGCAGCAACGCCGCGUGCGGGAUGACGGCCUUCGGGUUGUAAACCGCUUUCAGCAGGGGCGAAGCUUGUGGUGACGGUACCUGCAGAAGAAGCACCGGCUAACUACGU